rnacentral:tRNA from 1 species
GGGACCCUAGUUCAGAUGGUUAGAACAUUCGGCUCAUAACCGAAAUGUCAUAGGUUCGAGUCCUAUGGGGCCCACCA